rnacentral:rRNA from 1 species
CCUACGGGGGGCAGCAGUGGGGAAUAUUGGGCAAUGGGCGCAAGCCUGACCCAGCAACGCCGCGUGAAGGAAGAAGGCCCUCGGGUUGUAAACUUCUUUUAACAGGGACGAAGAAAGUGACGGUACCUGUUGUAUAAGCCACGGCUAACUACGGGCCAGCAGCCGCGGUAAUACGGAGGUGGCAAGUGUUAUCCGGAUUUACUGGGUGUAAAGGGCGUGUAGGCGGGAGAGCAAGUCAGACGUGAAAUUCCAGGGCUCAACCCUGGAACUGCGGUUGAAACUGUUGUUCUUGAGUGAGGGAGAGGCAGGCGGAAUUCCGGGUGUAGCGGUGAAAUGCGUAGAUAUAAGGAGGAACACCAGUGGCGAAGGCGGCCUGCUGGACAUUAACUGACGCUGAGGCGCGAAAGCGUGGGGAGCGAACAGGAUUAGAUACCCGAGUAGUC